rnacentral:rRNA from 1 species
UAGCCGUAAACGAUACUCGCUAGGUGUCGGCCACGGUGCGACCGUUGUCGGUGCCGUAGGGAAGCCGUGAAGCGAGCCACCUGGGAAGUACGGCCGCAAGGCUGAAACUUAAAGGAAUUGGCGGGGGAGCACAACAACGGGUGGAGCUUGCGGUUUAAUUGGAUUCAACGCCGGAAAUCUUACCGGGACCGACAGCAACAUGAAGGCCAAGCUGAAGACUUUUGCCGGAAUUAGCUGAGAGGAGGUGCAUGGCG